CUCAAAUAUGCACCGUCUGGUUCAGGACGUUUGUCACGCAUCGCACGUCAAUCCCGUGUUAAUCGUAGUAAUACACUUCGAAUUAAGAAACACCUUACCAGUCGCAUAUCUGCCAAAAAGAAACCAAGAAAACAACGGCGUGUUCAGUCAAAAGUAAAGAUACAUCCGUUGCACCUGAAACACUCCAGCAAACGCUCAACCACAUGGUUAGGCGCCAUGUGGGACCAACUUAUGCGUAUCUUCUCUUGGAACGAGGAGAAUACAGAGGAGACUUAACUAAACGAUAUACAUCUUUUUUAUUUUUAUAUAACAGACUACACUUACACAGAUGGUUCUUCCAACAACACUAAUACACUCUCCUACUCCUCCUACGCUCCUACUACUACCCAACCAACUAUAUUCAAUUACCUUCUCUAAGUACAACACCUGGAAUGACGGAUGCAAUCAAACUUGAUACUGUAAUUUAUAGAAUCAUUAUAUAUCUUAGAAAAGUGUACCAAUGAAUUUACUGAAGCUACCAAAUGCUCCUGAACUUUCUGUCUGACUGAAUCAACCAAUACUAUUUAUAAAGUUACUUUACGUCCUGAGAUUUUUUACCACCGAAAAACCACAAAAACUAAUGUAUUUUUAAAAAACUUCUAUUAACGCUGGAUAAAAUAAUGCACAUUGAUGGCUGAGAUAAGGGUUAACACGUGUUAUAUCCUGUAAACUACAAGAUACAUACUGGAUAAAUAUGUGUACCGUAAAAUUUUCCAUAAAUUUAUGUGAUGCAUGGACCAAAAUUAUACUUUGUGACUUACAUGAUAUUGGUACGAUGACUGUAACUAAAUUAUCUACCAAUAUAUUCUGGAUUUAUUUAUGCUGAAAUUGACAUAAAAAUUAAUAGUAGAGACUACCAAAUUAUUAAGGUCCAGUAUAUAUGGACCUGGCUUCUUUUAUUAAGAAAUAUUGCAUACCUAUAUAAUGAAUAAUAUAUUUUAUAACAGAGUACUUUCAUUCAAUCCCGUAAACCAUAUUUUUGAUGCAAGAAAAUUCUUAACUCUUUUUGUACAAAAUUAAAAAUAAAUAAAAAAUCUAUGACAUUUUUUUUUAGUAA